UUCUAUUUAUAUAAAAUGUGUAAACAGAAUCAUGAAGGACUAUGAAACAAAAAUGCUCCAUGCUACCCUUUAAGUUGGCUGCUCCUGAGAAGUAGAUCCCACAGAAACGACAAGUUGAAUUUCUAACACUUAUGUUCCACUUGACAGAAAGGCCAUUACUUAGCUUGUCUUUAACUGCUUCUCUCCAGGAAUGACUGAGUUCCACAAUCAUCAUACUGACUUGGCAAAACGUAAUGUUUCUAAGCAAAGACCGAAGCAAAGAGCUGCACCAAUCACAUGCAGACAGAGAGAAACCUCACUUCCAGUUUUGUUGGCCUGGUUUGUUGCUGUAGCCAUGGGUCUCCGCUUCAUUAUUAUGGUAACAAUAUGGAGUACUAUAGUCAAGAAUUCAUUAUUGAACCAAGAAGUUCCAACUUCUUUCAAUGGUAAGUGUAUAUUUAUAAAAUUUUAAAUCACAAUUGUAUUCAUUUAUAGUUGUGGGCUGCAUAAAGAUG